UACGUAGGGGGCGAGCGUUAUCCGGAUUCACUGGGUGUAAAGGGAGCGUAGACGGCCAUGCAAGCCAGGGGUGAAAGCCCGGGGCCCAACCCCCGGACUGCUUUGGAAACUGUAUAACUGGAGUGCAGGAGAGGUAGGUGGAAUUCCUAGUGUAGCGGUGAAAUGCGUAGAUAUUAGGAGGAACACCAGUGGCGAAGGCGGCUUACUGGACUGUAACUGACGUUGAGGCUCGAAAGCGUGGGGAGCAAACAGG
rnacentral:rRNA from 1 species